rnacentral:rRNA from 1 species
CAGUAGCCGCGUAAUACGGAGGAUCCAAGCGUUAUCCGGAAUCAUUGGGUUUAAAGGGUCCGUAGGCGGUCUUGUAAGUCAGUGGUGAAAGCCCAUCGCUCAACGGUGGAACGGCCAUUGAUACUGCAGGACUUGAAUUAUUGGGAAGUAACUAGAAUAUGUAGUGUAGCGGUGAAAUGCUUAGAGAUUACAUGGAAUACCAAUUGCGAAGGCAGGUUACUACCAAUUGAUUGACGCUGAUGGACGAAAGCGUGGGUAGCGAACAGGAUUAGAUACCCCCGUAGUCCCUGUCUCUUAUACA